rnacentral:lncRNA from 1 species
AGAAGGUGUGUUGGGAGGGCGGGGUGUCGUCCACACCUGUGUGCCCACGCCCUCUUCAUGUGGGCGGUGGGCGCUCUGAGUCCAGAUGUUUCAGGAAUCCUGAGGAGGACGGCUGUUUGACAGGGUCCAGGAGAAGACGGGUCCGGUAAGGCCGAUUAACCUGCAUCCGCAGAAGUUUCCCAGUUGUCCCUGUCUGUCCUGGACCACAUCGUGUGUGAUAGGUGGCUUUCUUUUGGAGCCAUUAGACAUACAAUCCAGUGGCCUUUAUCUUUUAGUGAACUGAUUUUUCAUGGUGUUUGUGUGAGAUGUGACAUAGCUAAGGUGUCACUAAAAGCUGCAAGACAUCAGGUUCGAAUCUUAAUCUCUCGGUAUAUCACGUGAAAAGUGGGGAAGAUUAAAGUAUCUAAGUCCAGAUAAAAUGUCCUUCCAAGGAUGCAGAGAGACCACUCGGGGGAGUGUUUUGUGAACGCUGAGGGGAGGUGGUAGGACUCAGGACAGAGGACUGGCUUAUGUCACCUUUGAUCCCAACCCUGGCACCAGGACAGCAUCAUCCAGGAUGCUCAGUUCAUACAGUGUUGAAUGCAGGAAUGAGCAGCUGGGGGUGGAGCACCAUGAGGGGAGGAAGAUCCAAAAGGUACCUGGGGGGCGAGGGGCUUCCAGGCAGGAGGCUGGGAUGAGGGAUGAGGCACACGCCUCAUCCGCCAGGAAGCAGCUAACACGUCCCCGGCCAGGUGGCUGCCUGGGCCGCCUGGCUCCCCCCCACCCCCAGCCCAUCUGCCAGGCCCUAGGCUGUCUUAGGGCUCUGUGACUGCUCCAGAGCAGGUGGACACAGAGCUUCUGCCGUCACGGGCGCUCUGGUGACCUGCCUGGAAUGUUCUGCCUCUCAUUCUUGCUUUUAGAGCCUUAGUCCCUGGUGACAGUAAACAUAACGGAUAUGGCCUGACACUGAGCUGCCCCAGGUCCUGGCAAAGCGGGACCAAAGGUCCUAUCUCCCAUGGAUAAAAAAUACAAAUAAAAACAGAACAGACAGAUACAGGCAGUUCCGUAGGGAAUCCAGGUCCCUGACCUAUGUUUUCCUGACCUAGUUUUUUUGUUUAGAAUCAAAUUACUUAGAAAAUUAUAAUUCCUUACAUAGUUGUUAUAGACCUGGUAGAAUAAAUCUAAUAAUAGUAUCCUUAUUUAAGCAGUAAUGAUGGCAGUUUCCAUCUUGUCGGGGCUCACCACGUGCUGAUAAAGGCACUGUGCUGAGCAUUCAUGAACAGUGUCUUAGUCCUGUAAGGUAUGUACGAACCCUGCAGGAUUUUACCACAAGAAGUGUUCCUUGGCAAGUGUCACUGCUAAACCUGUUUUACAGAUGAGGGAGCUGAAGAUCAAUCACUUCCUGAGGUCAUAGAGCAAGCAGGUGGAAGAGCUACAACUCAAGCAUCUGUCCAUCCAUCCAUCCAUCCAUCCAUCCAUCCAUCCAUUCCACAAAUACUAAUUGAACACCCACUACAUGCUGGCUACCAGGGAUUCAUGUGAGAAUAAUAAAGAUGACAGUCCCUGCUCUGUGGAGACAAACACAACAAAAAGGUAAAUUGCAUCCUGCAUUACAUGGAGGUAAAUGCAAUAAUGAAGAAUAAAACAUCAACCGGAAGAAAGUGGUGGG